CAAAGUAGCAGAAUUAAAAUAAAAAACGAUUUACUUUAAGGGAGAUGUGAUUUUAAAGAAAUCCCUUUUUAAAUCUUUAAUUUGCAUGGCUUGUAUUGUGAAUGUAUCUUUUGGUGCUAUAAGUAGCACCAGGGUAAAGCAACACUUUAUGAUUAGUUACACUAUUAUUCUGUUUCAAUUUUAUCUUAUGUGGAGUCUAGCUCUCUUUGUGUUUAGUAUAUUAGUUUUGUACCAAAGUGAGUAGCAACAUAAACCAAGCUAAAAAAAAAAAAAAACGUGAAAAGUA